AACGGACCCGGCUCGCCGGGUGGCUUGGCCGGGCGCCUAUCCCCCGGAUUACU
rnacentral:ncRNA from 1 species